UACGAAGGGGGCUAGCGUUGCUCGGAAUCACUGGGCGUAAAGCGCACGUAGGCGGAUUGUUAAGUCAGGGGUGAAAUCCUGGAGCUCAACUCCAGAACUGCCUUUGAUACUGGCGAUCUUGAGUCCGGGAGAGGUGAGUGGAACUCCGAGUGUAGAGGUGAAAUUCGUAGAUAUUCGGAAGAACACCAGUGGCGAAGGCAGCCCCCUGGGUCAAGAUUGACGCUCAUGCCACGAAAGCGUGGGGAGCAAACGAGGAUUAGAAACCC
rnacentral:rRNA from 1 species